rnacentral:snoRNA from 1 species
AAAUGAUGGCAAUAAUUUUUGGAACUAAUCUGAAAUGAAGAGAAUACUCAUUUCUGAUCAUUU